rnacentral:rRNA from 1 species
CGCGUAGGCGGCUCGGUAAGUCUGGAGUGAAAGUCCUGCUUUUAAGGUGGGAAUUGCUUUGGAUACUGUCGGGCUUGAGUGCAGGAGAGGUUAGUGGAAUUCCCAGUGUAGCGGUGAAAUGCGUAGAGAUUGGGAGGAACACCAGUGGCGAAGGCGACUAACUGGACUGUAACUGACGCUGAGGCGCGAAAGUGUGGGGAGCAAACA